UUUUUUAUUGUUCCAUGUUGAUAUAUUAUCAUUCUAGAAUACUUUUGGGGUAUUUAUUUAUCAUUUUAUAUUAUUGUUUUGCACUAACCUAUUGACCUUGUGCCCAGUGCUAGUUGCUAUUUUCUGCGUGUUUUUCACUUUGCAGGUUUUCCAUACCAAACGAGAUCCAAUUGCCCUAAAACUUUUUGGUGAUUUUUUCUGGACCAAAAUAAGACCAAUGAGC
rnacentral:lncRNA from 1 species